CCGAGGGCACGCCUGCCUGGGCAUCAUGCA
rnacentral:rRNA from 3 species